rnacentral:rRNA from 1 species
AGAGUUUGAUCCUGGCUCAGGAUGAACGCUAGCGGAACGCCUAACACAUGCAAGUCGAACGCUUUGUAGCAAUACAAGGAGUGGCAAACGAGCGAGUAACGCGUACUUAACUUACCCCCGAGUUGAGAACAACUACAGAGAUGUAGCUAAUUCUCAAUAUGCUCACGAUGGUGAAAUUCCAAUGUGAGGAAAGAUUUAUCGCUCAGGGAGAGGGGUGCGUCCUAUCAGAUAGUUGGUAAGGUAAUUGCUUACCAAGUCUAUGACGGGUAGCCGGUCUGAGAUGAUGUCCGGCCGCGAUGGAACUGAGAUACGGUCCAUACUCCUACGGGAGGCAGCAGUGGGGAAUCUUGCACAAUGGGCGAAAGCCUGAUGCAGCGAUUCCGCGUGAAGGAUGAAGCAUUACGGUGUGUAAACUUCUUUUUUGGUGGAAGACGAAUGACGGUACACCAAGAAUAAGGGACGGCUAACUACGUGCCAGCAGCCGCGGUAAUACGUAGGUCCCGAGCGUUAUCCGGAUUUACUGGGCGUAAAGUGUCCGUAGCCUGAUAUACAAGUCAGUUUUCAAAUAUUCCAGCUCAACUGGAAGAAGGGAAUAGAUACUGUAUAUCUAGAGAUUGUUAGAGGUUAGUGGAAUUUCCGGUGGAGCGGUGAAAUGCGUUGAUAUCGGAAAGAACUCCGAAAGCGAAAGCAGCUAACUAUAAUAAAUCUGACGGUGAGGGACGAAAGCUUGGGGAGCAAACGGGAUUAGAUACCCCGGUAGUCCAAGCUGUAAAUUAUGUCCGCUAGAUGUCUAUUUCCAACUCUGUUGGAAUGGGUGUCGUAAGUUAACACGUUAAGCGGAUCGCCUGGGUAGUAUAUUCGCAAGAAUGAAACUCAAAGGGAUAGGCGGGGGAACACACAAGCAGUGGAUUGUCUAGAUCAAUUGGACACUAAGCCAAGAAUCUUACCUAGAUUUGACAUGCAAUGUGUCUACGGUGAAAGCCGUAUAUUCGUAGCAAUACGAAGCUUUGCACAGGUGGUGCAUGGUCGUCGUCAGCUCGUGCCGCAAGGUGUCUAGUUAAGUCUAGGAACGAGCGCAACCCUCAUCAUUAGUUAGUAUGUCUAAUGAGACUGCCUCGGUAACGAGGAGGAAGGGGAGGAUGACGUCAGAUCCUCGUGCCCCUUACAUCUAGGGCUUCAUAGACAAUACAAUGGGUAGUAACAACGAGAAGCAAUACCGUGAGGUGGAGCAAAUCUUUAAACCUAUCCUUAGUUCGGAUUGUAGUCUGGAAUUCGACUACAUGAAGUUGGAAUUGCUAGUAAUGGCGAAUCAGCUACGUCGCCGUGAAUAUGUCCCUGUUCCUUGCACUCA